rnacentral:rRNA from 1 species
UACGUAGGGUGCAAGCGUUGUCCGGAAUUAUUGGGCGUAAAGAGCUCGUAGGCGGUCUGUCGCGUCGGCUGUGAAAACCCGGGGCUCAACCCCGGGCCUGCAGUCGAUACGGGCAGACUAGAGUGCGGUAGGGGAGACUGGAAUUCCUGGUGUAGCGGUGAAAUGCGCAGAUAUCAGGAGGAACACCGGUGGCGAAGGCGGGUCUCUGGGCCGAAACUGACGCUGAGGAGCGAAAGCGUGGGGAGCAAACAGG